rnacentral:tRNA from 1 species
GCAGUCGUGGCCGGGCGGUUAAGGCGAUGGACUUGAAAUCCAUUGGGGUCUCCCCGCACAGGUUCGAAUACUGUCGACUGCG